rnacentral:ncRNA from 1 species
AAAUCCAUUUGGCAAAUUAUUCGAAAGAAUAAGACGCAAAGCUUCCGGCCUGUCGACUGACUUUUUAUGUCUAUGGUAGCGGGGUUGCAAAC